rnacentral:ncRNA from 2 species
GAUGAAUUCAUAACGGAUGGUUCCGGACCGGUUGAAUCGGUACGGAUGAAAAGGGAAUGUGAAGCGGUGGACCCAAUUAGGGCGCCGUCAUCAUAGCCGACCCCGCGACUGUAGAGCGGUCAGGGUUUUCCGUCCGGCGUUGGUUUUCGAGCGGCUGACAGCCUGCAAUGGUGCAGGCGGGCGGUGCGGAAGCGGCGACGGAAAAGUCACUGGCAGUGCAUCAUGAUCAACCGGGGCAGGACGCCUCUUAUAUCUACGAAUCGUCCGCCUUUUCAUGAAAUGCAGCCGGGAAGGCGAGGAAGAUCCGCUGGCACGAUCUGGGGCGACCGGUUUCCGGUCUGCCCCGAUCGCGACCAACACCCGCGAGCCAGGAGACCUGCCAACCGUGCCGGGCGAAA